rnacentral:rRNA from 1 species
GACGAACGCUGGCGGCGUGCCUAAUACAUGCAAGUCGAGCGCAGGAAACUGACGGAACUCUUCGGAGGGAAGGCAGUGGAAUGAGCGGCGGACGGGUGAGUAACACGUAAGGAACCUGCCUCAAGGAUUGGGAUGACUCCGAGAAAUCGGAGCUAAUACCGGAUAGUUCAACGGACCGCAUGGUCCGCUGAUGAAAGGCGCUUCGGCGUCACCUUGAGAUGGCCUUGCGGUGCAUUAGCUAGUUGGGGGGGUAACGGCCGACCAAGGCGACGAUGCAUAGCCGACCUGAGAGGGUGAUCGGCCACACUGGGACUGAGACACGGCCCAGACUCCUACGGGAGGCAGCAGUAGGGAAUCUUCCACAAUGGACGAAAGUCUGAUGGAGCAACGCCGCGUGAGUGAUGAAGGUUUUCGGAUCGUAAAGCUCUGUUGUAAGGGAAGAACACGUACGAGAGGUAAUGCUCGUACCUUGACGGUACCUUACGAGAAAGCCACGGCUAACUCUGUGCCAGCCGCCGCCGUAAUAC